rnacentral:rRNA from 1 species
GAUGAACGCUAGCGGGAGGCCUAACACAUGCAAGCCGAGCGGUAUUGUUUCUUCGGAAAUGAGAGAGCGGCGUACGGGUGCGUAACACGUGUGCAACCUGCCUUUAUCUGGGGGAUAGCCUUUCGAAAGGAAGAUUAAUACUCCAUAAUAUAUUGAACGGCAUCGUUUAAUAUUGAAAGCUCCGGCGGAUAGAGAUGGGCACGCGCAAGAUUAGUUAGUUGGUGAGGUAACGGCUCACCAAGGCGAUGAUCUUUAGGGGGCCUGAGAGGGUGAUCCCCCACACUGGUACUGAGACACGGACCAGACUCCUACGGGAGGCAGCAGUGAGGAAUAUUGGACAAUGGGUGCAAGCCUGAUCCAGCCAUCCCGCGUGAAGGACGACUGCCCUAUGGGUUGUAAACUUCUUUUGUAUAGGGAUAAACCUACCCUCGUGAGGGUAGCUGAAGGUACUAUACGAAUAAGCACCGGCUAACUCCGUGCCAGCCGCCGCGGUAA